GUUAGAAUUUCGUUGUGUGUAGGUGCCCUUCUCAAGCCAUUCGAACAAGGUUGCGGGACCAAGGACGAUCCUAACCUGUCCGAUAAGGCUUCGGAUUCUGUGACAUCAGUUUGAACAGGGAUUCAAGAAGAAUCCUAUUAUGCCCACGUUUUGAGAGAGAUGCAGUUAAACAAUGAAUUUAAACAGAUAAAAUUGAUCCUGGUGAUACGAGAGAGAGAGAAAAAAAAUCCACCUAACCUCGAGAAAAAGAGCAAGGAGUUACAAGGAUUAGGAUGUUGCCAAAGUCUUAUUAGUCCAUCCGAGGAGACAUCUAGUGUUCACUAGAGAAUCGACCCAAUCCAAAGAGAAUAUCAAGAGAAUAUCAAGAGAAUCAAGAGAGAGAGGACCUCGGGUGAUAAAGAGAACGAGGAGAGGUAAGAGGAUCGCCGGUAACCUUGAAAACCUAAAUUAAGAUGCCGGUAAUCCAGGGCAAUUAAUAAAAAAAUUUUCUUCAGACCACCCAGCCCUGCCAGUGGCCCCCACACAACUAAAACAAAUCAUUUAGUUGUGUGGGGGCUCUGGUAGGGCUGGGUGGUCAAAAAUUCUGGAAUAAUUCACCUAAAAUUGGCGAUGUAAUAAGGCUGCCUUAUGUAAUUCU